rnacentral:rRNA from 1 species
CCUACGGGAGGCAGCAGUGAGGAAUAUUGGUCAAUGGACGAGAGUCUGAACCAGUCAAGUCGCGUGAAGGAUGACUGCCCUCUGGGUUGUAAACUUCUUUUAUAUGGGAGUAAGAUGUUCCACGUGUGAGCUUUUGUAUGUACCCUAUGAAUAAGGAUCGGCUAACUCCGUGCCAGCGGCCGCGGUAAUACGGGGGAUCCGAGCGUUAUCCGUCUUUAUUGGGUUUAAAGGGAGCGUAGGUGGAUUGUUAAGUCCGUUGUGAAAGUUUGCGGCUCAAACGUAAAAUUGCAGUUGAAACUGGCAGGCUUGAGUACAGUAGAGGUGGGCGGAAUUCGUGGUGUAGCGGUGAAAUGCUUAGAUAUCACGAAGAACUCCGAUUGCGAAGGCAGCUCACUGGACUGCAACUGACACUGAGGCUCGAAAGUGUGGGUAUCAAACAGGAUUAGAUACCCUAGUAGUC